GACGAACGCUGGCGGCGUGCUUAACACAUGCAAGUCGAACGGAAAGGCCCUGCUUUUGUGGGGUGCUCGAGUGGCGAACGGGUGAGUAACACGUGAGUAACCUGCCCUUGACUUUGGGAUAACUUCAGGAAACUGGGGCUAAUACCGGAUAGGAGCUCCUGCUGCAUGGUGGGGGUUGGAAAGUUUCGGCGGUUGGGGAUGGACUCGCGGCUUAUCAGCUUGUUGGUGGGGUAGUGGCUUACCAAGGCUUUGACGGGUAGCCGGCCUGAGAGGGUGACCGGCCACAUCGGGACUGAGAUACGGCCCAGACUCCUACGGGAGGCAGCAGUGGGGAAUAUUGCACAAUGGGCGGAAGCCUGAUGCAGCAACGCCGCGCGCGGGAUGACGGCCUUCGGGUUGUAAACCGCUUUCGCCUGUGACGAAGCGUGAGUGACGGUAAUGGGUAAAGAAGCACCGGCUAACUACGUG
rnacentral:rRNA from 1 species